GCUCCGGUGUUGUAGUGGUAGAGCACGCGUCCUUGGUUAGGAUAAAGCGCGGUAGGAUAAAGCGCGGGUUCGAUUCCCGCCUGAGGCU